rnacentral:rRNA from 1 species
AACGAUGAAGCCCCUUCGGGGGUGCAUGAAGUGGCGAAAGGGCGAGGACCACGUUCCUACGUACCCCAAGGUCAGGGAUAGCCCCGGGAAACUGGGUGUAAUACCUGAUGAUCUAUCCGCAGCAAAGACUUCGGUCGCCUUGGGAGCGGGGAACGCCCUAUCAGGUAGUUGGUGAGGUAACGGCUCACCAAGCCUAAGACGGGUAGCGGGUGUGAGAGCAUGGCCCGCCGCAUCGGGACUGAGACACUGCCCGGACUCCUACGGGAGGCUGCAGUAACGAAUAUUCCGCAAUGCGCGAAAGCGUGACGGAGCAAUGCCGCGUGUGGGAUGAAGCUCUUCGGAGUGUAAACCACUGUCAGAGUUUAGGGACACAAUGACCAGACUCAAAGGAAGGGCCGGCUAACUUCGUGCCAGCAGCCGCGGUAAUACGAAGGGCCCAAGCGUUAAUCGGAAUCACUGGGCUUAAAGAGUACGUAGGCGGACUGGAAGGUGCUUUGUGAAAUCCCUCGGCUCAACCGAGGAACUGCAGGGCAAACCAUCAGUCUAGAGACAGGUAGGGGUCGUCGGAACGCUAGGUGGAGUGGUGAUAUGCGUUGAUAUCUAGCGGAACGCCGAAGGAGAAGUCAGGCGACUGGGCCUGUUCUGACGCUGAGGUACGAAAGCGUGGGGAGCGAACGGGAUUAGAUACCCCGGUAGUCCACGCCGUAAACGAUGCGCACUA